rnacentral:rRNA from 1 species
GAUGAACGCUGGCGGCGUGCCUAAUACAUGCAAGUCGAGCGAACAGACGAGGAGCUUUCUCCUCUGGCGUUAGCGUCGGACGGGUGAGUAACACGUGGGUAACCUACCUAUAAGACUGGGGUAACUUCGGGAAACCGGAGCUAAUACCGGAUAAUAUAUUCAACCGCAUGGUUCAAUAGUUAAAGACGUUUUUGCUUUCACUUAUAGAUGGAGCCGCGCGGCAUUAGCUAGUUGGUAAGGUAACGGCUUACCAAGGCGACGAUGCGUAGCCGACCUGAGAGGGUGAUCGGCCACACUGGAACUGAGACACGGUCCAGACUCCUACGGGAGGCAGCAGUAGGGAAUCUUGCGCAAUGGGCGCAAGCCUGAUGGAGCAAUGCCGCGUGAGUGAUGAAGGUCUUCGGAUCGUAAAAUUCUGUUAUUAGGGAAGAACAAAUGUGUAAGUAACUAUGCACGUAUUGACGGUACCUAAACAGAAAGCCACGGCUAACUACGUG